rnacentral:rRNA from 1 species
AGCAGCCGCGGUAAUUCCAGCUCCAAUAGCGUAUAUUAAAGUUGUUGCAGUUAAAAAGCUCGUAGUUGAAUUUCGGGAUCAAAUUGUCGGUCGUGCCUCGGUACGAACUGGUAUUAUUGGUUCCUCCCUUCUGAAGAACCGCGAUGUCAUUAAUUUGGUGUCGUGGGGAAUCAGGACUGUUACUUUGAAAAAAUUAGAGUGUUUAAAGCAGGCGCACGCUUGAAUACAUUAGCAUGGAAUAAUGAAAUAGGACGUUUGAUUCUAUUUUGUUGGUUUCUAGGAUUGACGUAAUGAUUAAUAGGGAUAGUUGGGGGCAUUAGUAUUCAAUUGUCAGAGGUGAAAUUCUUGGAUUUAUUGAAGACUAACUACUGCGAAAGCAUUUGCCAAGGAUGUUUUCAUUAAUCAAGAACGAAAGUUAGGGGAUCGAAGACGAUCAGAUACCGUCGUAGUCUUAACCAUAAACUAUGCCGACUAGGGAUCGGAUGAUGUUAAUUUUUUAAUGACUCA